GAACGAACGCUGGCGGCAUGCCUAACACAUGCAAGUCGAACGAGACCUUCGGGUCUCGUGGCGCACGGGUGCGUAACGCGUGGGAACCUGCCCUUAGGUUCGGAAUAACUCCCCGAAAGGGGUGCUAAUACCGGAUAAUGUCUUCGGACCAAAGAUUUAUCGCCUUUGGAUGGGCCCGCGUUGGAUUAGCUAGUUGGUAGGGUAAAAGCCUACCAAGGCGACGAUCCAUAGCUGGUCUGAGAGGAUGAUCAGCCACACUGGGACUGAGACACGGCCCAGACUCCUACGGGAGGCAGCAGUGGGGAAUAUUGGACAAUGGGCGAAAGCCUGAUCCAGCAAUGCCGCGUGAGUGAUGAAGGCCUUAGGGUUGUAAAGCUCUUUUACCCGGGAUGAUAAUGACAGUACCGGGAGAAUAAGCGCCGGCUAACUCCGUG
rnacentral:rRNA from 1 species